UGAGGAAUAUUGGUCAAUGGACGCAAGUCUGAACCAGCCAAGUAGCGUGCAGGAUGACGGCCUUAUGUUUUGUAAACUGUUUUUAUAUGGGGAUAAAGUGGGGAACGUGUUCCCUUUUGCAGGUACCAUAUGAAUAAGGACCGGCUAAUUCCGUGCCAGCAGCAGCGGUAAUACGGAAGGUUCGGGCGUUAUCCGGAUUUAUUGGGUUUAAAGGGAGCGUAGGCCGUUUGGUAAGCGUGUUGUGAAAUGUAGGAGCUCAACUUCUAGAUUGCAGCGCGAACUGUCAGACUUGAGUGCGCACAACGUAGGCGGAAUUCAUGGUGUAGCGGUGAAAUGCUUAGAUAUCAUGAAGAACUCCGAUUGCGAAGGCAGCUUACGGGAGCGCAACUGACGCUGAAGCUCGAAGGUGCGGGUAUCGAACAGG
rnacentral:rRNA from 1 species